rnacentral:rRNA from 1 species
GGCUAGCCGUAAACUUUCCCUUACACUCAAUCGCCAGGGAACUACGAGCUAAGCUUAAAACCCAAGUGACUUGACGGUACCCCAUAUCCCCCUAGAGGAGCCUGUCCUAUAAUCGAUAACCCACGUUAAACCUCACCAUUUUUAGUUAAUCAGCCUGUAUACCUCCGUCGUCAGCUUACCACGUGAGCGUUAAUUAGUGAGCUUAAUGUUUUUCACCAAUACGUCAGGUCAAGGUGCAGCAAAUGAAAUGGGAAGAGAUGGGCUACACUCUCUAUUUUAGAAAAAACGAAAAACUACCUAUGAAACCUAGUUAGAAGGCGGAUUUAGCAGUAAAAAGGAAUCAGCAUGUCCCUUUUAAUCCGGCACUGGGGUGUGUACACACCGCCCGUCA